rnacentral:rRNA from 1 species
UGCAUGGAAGAUGAGGAUAACAACGCACAAUGUCCGAAAUGUUCAUUUACCUUCUGCGGUUCUUGCAAGGAAGUACGGCAUCCAGGGAAGCAGUGUCUAACUCCAAAACAAAAGCUCCAGCGCCGGAAGGCGUCAGGCAAGUUGAAUGAAAGGGGGAUGUCACAGGAAAUGCUGAACAUCAGAGAACUGUACAAAGAUGUUCGGGUAUGUCCAAAUUGUCGAAUGGCCAUCAACAAAAGUGCAAGCUGCAAUAAAGUGAUGUGCACUAGUUGUGGUCAGCUAUUUUUCUUUCGUUGCUGCAAGACAAUCAAUGGCUAUGAUCACUUCAAGAACUGUCGGCUCUUCGAGGCUACAGAUAUGACCGACUGGGACAAGCAAAUGAUUGAACUACAGAAUGGAAUUCAGAUGCGAGCUCAAAAACAACCAUUGGGCGGCACCAUAAGAUGCCCCAAAUGUCGCGAAACAAAUUUCAAGGAUGAUGAGAAGUAUGUCUUCUGUUGGGCGUGCCGAACCAGCUACUGCACACUAUGCAAACGGAUAAUC